GUGAAUCAUCAAAUUUUUGAACGCAAAUUGCACUUUCUGGUAUUCCGGGAAGUAUGCCUGUUUGAGGGUCAGUUAUAUAAAAAUCGUUGUUGUUGCUGCCUUUCGUGGUGAAGCGUCGGAAUUGGGUCGUAUUACCUUCGGUUACGUGAAUUAUAAUUUUUGCAUGAUUUUCGAACGUAUUUAAGUCGCUUACGUACGUUCGAGCUAUAGAUUGAUAUUUAGGUUUG
rnacentral:misc_RNA from 1 species